CUUGCUAAGUUUGAUGGCGACCGGCGCACGGGUGAGUAACACGUAUCCAACCUGCCGAUAACUCGGGGAUAGCCUUUCGAAAGAAAGAUUAAUACCCGAUGGCAUAAUAGAACCGCAUGGUUUGAUUAUUAAAGAAUUUCGGUUAUCGAUGGGGAUGCGUUCCAUUAGGCAGUUGGUGGGGUAACGGCCCACCAAACCUUCGAUGGAUAGGGGUUCUGAGAGGAAGGUCCCCCACAUUGGAACUGAGACACAGUCCAAACUCCUACGGGAGGCAGCAUG
rnacentral:rRNA from 1 species